AGCCCCUCCUCCACAGCCAGGUGCUCUGGACAUGCGCAGUCCGGGAUUCUCGGCGGGCCUGGCGCCUUCCCGGGCCGCGCGCGCGCCGCCUCUCGUGGAGCGCGGACAAGGUGACCAGCGCAUGCGCUAGAGGCCGCCAUGAGGAAGUCGCAUGGAUCCCAGAGUUAGAGGCGGACCUGGAAUUCCAGGACAGCCAGAAACCCUGUCUCCAAAACCAAACCAACCAAACAACCAGCCGACAACAAAGAAGCAUCCUGGUGUGAAGGAAACUGCUUAGGCAGUGACAGGCAGCAUGAAACUGCUUCUGGCUCAAGUCCUGGUGUGGCUGACAAUUAUUGGGACAUACAUGGCUGGUGCAGGCACGACGACAGUUCAAUGGAACUGAAGACCUGGAAAAGAAGGGCGCCGUGGUUUUCUUCAAACCUGCUGAGUCAUCUGACCCCAUGUCUUCCGUCUCCACCAUCUGAGCGCUGCCAAGCCUGCCUGGCUGAUUUCCUUUCAACUGAUCUUUCUCCGGUGCUCAGGAACUACUCCGAUAGAAUUCAAGCUUUCAGGCGGCCAGGCCAGGCCCUUUGCCGCUGGCCUUUGCUGGACUGAUCGGUGCCUUUCUUAGCCGCCAUUUUCCCCGAGCAGGAAACCCUCAGGGCAUCAUGCUGUCACUAUCUAGGCCAGGCUAGCCAGCUGCUCUCUCACAGUCACCGGCUGGGGAGACCCCUGCAGUGUCCAUCCCCACGGCUGACUGUUAUCAGCAGGCCUGUCACCAGGCCAGGCCGUGACAGCGCCGUCCACAGAUGAGUGCCCAGCCCGGGACAGCUGUGGCAGCUUUCUCAGUCAUAGAUCAUCUGCCAGGCCACCUUCCAAGGAAUAGAAAGGCCUGACUGGCUCAGCAGUAAGGUAAAGGACACUUUACUGUGUGUGAGGCACUAGGCUCCAGCCUCAGCACACACAGACAGACAAAUGCACGGAGAACAAAGAAACAGAUUCAGGGAGGGGAAGGAUAGUCUACAGGCAUGACUUUCUGGUUUGUUCCAGCCUCGUUCUUCCUCCAGAGAGUUCCAGAGAGGCCGGCCUCUACCUCUAUGGGAGGAGGGACCUUGCAAUGUUUACUGUUCUCGAGGAGGUGGAACCUGGAAGAAUGGAUCCUAAAAAUGAGGAGGUCUGGGGCUGGAGAGAUGGCUCAGUGGUUAAGAGCACUGAUUGUUCUUCCAGAGGUCCUGAGUUCAAUUCCCAGCAACCACAUGGUGGCUCACAACCAUCUGCAGUGGGAUCUGAUGCCCUCUUCUGGUGUGUCUGAAGAUAGCUACAGUGUACUUACAAUAAAUAAAUCUUUAAAAAAAAAAUGAGGUCUAAAGUUUCACACAAUAACCAGCUUUAUUCAGAACUUCAGGCAAUUUAUUGUUAAGAAUUAUGGGUUUGGGGAUUUGGCUCAGUGGUAGAGCGCUUGCCUAGCACGCGCAAGGCCCUGGGUUCGAUCCCCAGCUCCGAAAAAAAAAAUAGAGAGAAAAAAAAAGAAUUAUCUGGGGGUGGUAGAGCGCCUGCCUAGGAAGCGCAAGGCCCUGGGUUCGGUCCCCAGCUCUGAAAAAAAAAAAAAAAGAACCAAAAAAAAAAAAAACAAAAAACAAAAAAAUACAAUAGUCAGUUGUGGUAAAUAAUUGGAGGUAAACUCAUUCCUGUCCACCACUACACACUGGAGGGGCACAAAACACACUCCAAGAUCAAUUUCAAGUUAUUGAAGAAAGGAGGUCACAAGACUUGUUUUCUGGGAAUUUUCUGCCCCAGCCCUCAGGAUUCCCGGUUCUUGGACCUUGUUCUGACCUUGUAAAACGCAUAAGGUUGCACCAGGGCUAUUCAACAUCUUUAUCAUCCUUUCCUUUAUGCAAAUCACAAUGCCUCUCAAAGGGUCUGACCUCUCUCCACCCUGAAAGGUUCCCGGUGAGCCUGGAGCACUUCAUUGAGCUCAGCUCACUCAGUGUGUCUCCUCCACUGAACUCACUCAGCUAAACUGAACUUACAGUUGUUAUCUCUUUAUCCUAGGGGCCGUCUCCAUACCCAGCACGGGAUGGGGGGAGUGCUGGGGGCUGGGUAAUAACACAGAAAAAACGUCUGUGAGUAGUCGGCACCCUUCAUUCCUAAGGGGAAGCUUGGGUAUUUAGCGCCACCUGCUGGUCAGUUUGAGGCCUUCCAGUGGGAACUCCGAGGCGUUACCUGAGCUCCGAUGGAGAUGAACCACCACUGUAGUCUUCACUCAGGAUUCAAGAAAAAGCUUUUGGUAAUUCACAGAGCAAGGAUAAGAUGAUGUGCCUGUGUGUAAGACAGCCUGGAAUUGUAGAACUAGAGUUUUAAAAAGGUUACUCAUUGUCAGAGUCCGGAUGUGCCUGAGGGAGAGCCAGAGAUAGGACUUGCCAAACCAGCUAUCAGCCCCAAGGACAUUGACCAUCUGUAGCCACCCCCUCCCCUUCCUUCACCCCCCUGAGUGAGAUGAGCCAUCCUACCUGCCUGCCGAGCUGCUAGAGAGCACGUACUCCUUGCUGAUGUAAUUUCGCGCCGAAAGUAACUGUGCACCAUUUGAAAUGACCAAUCAUGUGUAACCGCGCGAAUGCCCCUAACCUCCCCUAUAUAAACCCCCGAGUUUGGAAGCUCGGGGUCGAUUCCUCUGUCUCCUGUGUGAGAUACGUGUCGACCCGGGAUCCCGCUAAGACCCGGGAUCUCGUUAAUAAAGCUACCUCCUGCUGUUACAUCAA